rnacentral:lncRNA from 1 species
AAGAAAAAUAGAUAUACAUAUAAAAAAGAAGAUGUGGUAUGAUUUUCAAUGAGACAACUGUCCACAAGAGACCAAAAUGACACAGACAUUAACAACUAUAGGUCACCGUACGGCCUUCAACAAUGAGCAAAGCCCAUACCGCAUAGUCAGCUAUAAAAGGCCCCGAUAUGACAAUGUAAAACAAUUCAAACGAGAAAACUAA